rnacentral:tRNA from 1 species
GGAAGGUUGGCCGAGCGGUCGAAGGCGCUGCCUUGGAAAGGCAGUGUACGUUAUCGCGUACCGAGGGUUCGAAUCCCUCACCUUCUGCCA